GAGGGUAUAGCUCAGUGGUAGAGUGCAUGCUUAACACACAUGAGAUGCUAGGUUCAAUCCCCAGUAACUCUG
rnacentral:tRNA from 1 species